rnacentral:rRNA from 1 species
UACGUAGGGCGCAAGCGUUAUCCGGAAUUAUUGGGGCGUAAAGAGCUCGUAGGCGGUUUGUCGCGUCUGCCGUGAAAGUCCGGGGCUCAACUCCGGAUCUGCGGUGGGUACGGGCAGACUAGAGUGAUGUAGGGGAGACUGGAAUUCCUGGUGUAGCGGUGAAAUGCUUAGAUAUCGUCAAGAACACCUAUAGCGAAGGCAGCUUACUAGGCUGUAACUGACGCUGAGGCACGAAAGUGUGGGGAGCGAACAGG